UGAUGGAGUCAGAAAGUUAAGGAUUUAUAUUGCAUAAAUUGUCAGAGCUUUGAGAAAGAUGUGAAUUUUCUAGUGAAAUAAGAUUGACACACUGACAUGGAAUAAGUAUUGUAGGUAACUCCAUAUAGUUAAGGAGAAAGUAUGGUUAUGUUGCACAUAUGUCAUAAGGUUUGGAAGUGGGGUAAUGUAUCAGUGUUUCAAUUUCUAAGGUCACUAGAGUAUCUUGG
rnacentral:lncRNA from 1 species